rnacentral:tRNA from 1 species
GGGCCGGUAGCUCAGCGGUAGAGCAAGUGACUCUUAAUCACUAGGUCGUGGGUUCGAAUCCCACCCGGCUCACCA